CAGCAGCCGCGGUAAUACGAAGGGUGCAAGCGUUAAUCGGAAUUACUGGGCGUAAAGCGUGUGUAGGUGGUUGUUUAAGUCUGUCGUGAAAGCCCUGGGCUCAACCUGGGAAUUGCGAUGGAUACUGGGCGACUAGAGUGCGGUAGAGGAUAGUGGAAUUUCCGGUGUAGCAGUGAAAUGCGUAGAGAUCGGAAGGAACAUCUGUGGCGAAGACGACCAUCUGGGCCAACACUGACACUGAGACACGAAAGCGUGGGGAGCAAACAGGAUUAGAUACCCCAGUAGUCCCUGUCUCUUAUAA
rnacentral:rRNA from 1 species